rnacentral:rRNA from 1 species
UUUUGACUGUGCAAAGGUAGCAUAAUAAUUAGUUUUUUAAUUGAAAACUGGUAUGAAUGGUUGGACAAGGGAAAUUCUGUCUCUAUUUUAAUUUUAUUAGAAAUUUAUUUUUAAGUUAAAAAGCUUAGAUUUAUUUAAAAGACGAGAAGACCCUAUAGAGUUUUAUAUAAUUAAUAGAUUAAAAUUUUAAGUAUUAAGUUUUUAUUCUAUUAAUUAUAUUUAGUUGGGGUGACUUAAAAACAUAAUUAACUUUUUAUUUAUUUAAACAUUAAUUUAUGAGUAAUUGAUCCAUUGAUUAUGAUAAAAGAU